rnacentral:rRNA from 1 species
GAGCUUUAAUUAACCAACUUAUAAAUCACAACAACAUCCUAUAGGAAAUAAACUUAUUUUAACUAAGUCGGCAAUUUAGGUUGGGGUGACCUCGGAAUAAAAAAUAACUCCCGAGAAAAAUCAAUCAAGACAGACAAGUCAAAAUUACUAUAUUACAUAAUGAUCCAUCAAAGAUGAUCAACGAAAUAAGUUACCCUAGGGAUAACAGCGCAAUCCUAUUUAAGAGUCCAUAUCGACAAUUAGGGUUUAC